GACGAACGCUGGCGGCGUGCCUAAUACAUGCAAGUAGAACGCACAGUUUAUACCGUAGCUUGCUACACCAUAGACUGUGAGUUGCGAACGGGUGGGUAACGCGUAGGUAACCUGCCUGGUAGCGGGGGAUAACUAUUGGAAACGAUAGCUAAUACCGCAUAAUAUUGAUUAUUGCAUGAUAAUUGAUUGAAAGAUGCUAUUGCAUCACUACCAGAUGGACCUGCGUUGUAUUAGCUAGUAGGUGAGGUAACGGCUCACCUAGGCGACGAUACAUAGCCGACCUGAGAGGGUGAUCGGCCACACUGGGACUGAGACACGGCCCAGACUCCUACGGGAGGCAGCAGUAGGGAAUCUUCGGCAAUGGACGAAAGUCUGACCGAGCAACGCCGCGUGAGUGAAGAAGGGUUUCGGAUCGUAAAGCUCUGUUGUAAGAGAAGAACGGGUGUGAGAGUGGAAAGUUCACACUGUGACGGUAUCUUACCAGAAAGGGACGGCUAACUACGUG
rnacentral:rRNA from 1 species